GCGAACGUGGUCUAGUCUCGCUAUGAUUCCUGGUUGUGGCCCAGGAGCUCCCGGGUGCGAAUCCCGGCGUUCGCC
rnacentral:tRNA from 1 species